CAAGGAAUACCAGGCAGCGUUUAAUUGCGGAGCACAGCGUUUAGUUGGGCUAAUGAGCGGAGCCGCAGAGUUGGGACUUUAGUGCACACUCUGGUGCACUGAGAGCCAUAUGAAGCCCUUCAGCAGAGGAGCCUUGCAGGGUUGUUUGGUUUUAGGUGCAGGGAAGAAAAGGAAAUCUUUUAUGCAGGUAGGACCGACUAUGUGAAAGAAUAUACCACAGGCAAGAGCCAGACUGAGAGGUGGAGUAAGAGAAUGCGAGCGGAAGAGGGGAGGGGAGAGAACGGGAAAUGCUGAGAGAGAGAGAGAGAGAGAGACUAGGAGCCUGCAGCAGCAAAUGAGACAGAACAACGAGGCGGGAGAGGUAGAGAGACAGGGAGGGAGGGAGGUGCAGGGGCCCAGAAUAGGAGAGAGGGCUACAGGGUGAGAAAGAAGAAGGAGAACAGAAAAAGUUGGAAUAAGCAAGAGAGAGAGAAGGAAAAAGCUAAGUCUAUUUAGAGAGAUUUACCCAAAGAGGUGGGAAGGAGAAGGGAAACAACAGACAGGAAGGAAAGGGAGGGAGUCUUGGGUAGAGAGAGGGGGGGGGCUGAAGAAAAGUUUUCUUGUGGCGAGAAGCAGAUGAGGAAAACAGAGUGCUUGAAUGACUGGGCUAGAGAGACCAAGAGCAGGAGGAAACCAGUUGCUUUCUGAGGUAUUUUCCACAAGAGCUCCUGGACUUCUUUGGACAUGUACACGGAAGGAGCUCAGAUAGCGGGACAGCACCGAUUCUUCCAGCGUAUCAGCACCUCCGCCCCCCGCCCCUGCCCACACUGUGUCCAGCAUGAGCAGCGAGCGUAUGGCCAUCACGGUGUGCCCAGACAGAUGAUCCGCUCAUCUCUGGACUGCAGGAGAGACAUCCAGGCUCCUCGGGUUAAAGACGUAGGAGAGCAAGCUUUUGCAUUGGACAGAGUAGAGAGAAGCAGUCAUCACAGCCCACAGAGGAGGCCUGUGUUUGUGGGGCUGGGCCUUAACAGCCAGACAGACGAAUUGUGCCAAGCUUACCCCUGGGAGUUUAACCCUGCCCAGCGUAACUACCCACCGGAAUUUGGAGAGAGACACUACCUGCCUGUCAAAGAACACUGUGGCUGCAUGGUUCGACACAACACCGGGACACGUCACGUUAAUACGGGGAUACCACAUCCUCUCCCGCAUCUUCAGGUCAGAAGUCAAGGUGGCAGGCACAGGAGGACUGUCAGGUAUGUGUCUGUGGAGGAAGAAUGUUGUGGAUGCCCCAAGAACUACCAUCUGGAGUCCUACAACCCCCAUCUCAGGCAUUUAUACAUCCCUAACGGGCACUGUCAACCAAAGACUGUUAUUUUUGAUGGAAGGGACGAAAGAGAUAGCCAUGAGGAACAAAGUUGGCUGAGGGGGGUAUCGGAAGAGUUCUGUCCUGGACGCAGUGGUUUCUUUCCCACAGAGGUCCCACCAAAACACUUGAAUGAAAGCAGACAGAGGGGACCGUGCGUUACUAUUCCGGGCAGCGCCACUCCCGAGCCCUCCGGAUCGCCUGCCAAUGGGGACCACCGGGGGCAGGGGUCAGAGGUGGUGAAGCGGAGGAAGACCCAGGAUUCAGUGAGGGAUCAAAUCAGACAAGUGGUGAUGGAUUUGGAGGAUGUGUUGGGGGGUUUGAAGCAAGUUCAUGUGGAAAUGAAAGAGGUGGUCGAGCAGAUCGAUCGUUUGACAGCCAGUAUCGACCUCGGUGCCGAGGUGCCGUGUAUCACACAUGGAGGGUCCAGUGACUUUCACGGCUCACUUCAUCCAUGUGACCUGAGGCUGGCCCCGCCGCCCAGUCCUAAAAACGUUCCAGUUCAUGCGCCGCGGCACGUUGAGGAAGACCGUAUCAUCUUAAGAACCAACUCUCCUUCCCCUGUUCACAUGGCAUCUGUUGUCAAAACCAGCCACUUCACCCCGCCCAGCCACACCAAGGACAUCGGCCAUGAGCGCCAUGGUGUGAACGGACACCCACCUCACCUUUGCCCUCCCAGAGACUCUAACCACAAUGGCCACAUUCCCUCUGAACACCAUCCGCUGAACCCAGACGUAAAGGUCACAGUUGCUAACGGAACCUCUAAUUUAAGAACACACAAGCCGCCUCCGUAUUCUCAAAACGGCCGAUGUGGGAACGGCCCAACCUCGCCUCUCAAGCCUGCGAGGAUGUCCGUCCACCCAGGGAGAGGCCGUCAUGACGGCAGCGUGGUGUGAGAGGAGGGGGCAUGGUGGUGGUGGUCUGCCCCAGUGCCACUGGGGCCUGAAACAUGAGACCCUACUGCAGUGAGUGGAGGUCAGCGAGGGAGCAGGCAGGGGAACAACUCAUGGUAAGUUUGGGAACAGAAAAAGUUUUGCCUUCAGGCUGUGUUGAUGUUUCCGUCAGUGCUCACGGUCGAUGACGUCUGCCAUGUUUACCGGCAGUGUGUGUUUUCAGUCAGUAAAUGACUUGCAGUGUUCCUCCCUGCGACAAAAAAAGGUUUAUGUGUGUGUUUGAUGUGUGCGAUGGCUGUGUGUGGGUGGCUGUGGAAGGGGGCGUGCAGCGUGUGCGCUUUUGUUGAUGUCACAUGAUUUCCCAGCCUUCAGUGCGCUGCAAAAUUACCGUGAACUGAAGUGAAAUGUUUAAUGUUUUCUCCCCAGGAAGUAGACGCUCCUCAAAGAACUCAAAUGCCUUUUUUUUUUUUUUUUUUUAGCUACGCUUGAAAAACCCUUUUAACUGUGAUGGUUUCAAUUCUCUACUCCAGCAGAAUCUGAAUCAAGGCUCGGGGAUAAAAAAAAUCUUCAGACGGUCUUUGUUUUGCAACGCACCUUCAAGGAAACUGAGACCUGGCAGGAGCUCAGAUGUUUUUUUGGCUCAGAAAGACCCCUGAAAGCUCCCAGAUCAUGUGACCCAGAUGAAGCGUCAUUAUCUUUAUGGGAUGAUCACAGCUCUAACUCGGGAGUUGGCGUGAUUUAAUGCUAGGGGUCAAUGAAGUUAGACUAAACCAUCUUCUUUCAGCCACAGUCACAUGUAUCAUUACUGGCUGUGAAGGGGAAGCAGAUUUAAUGACAAGACAAGAUGAGAUCUGUGAAAAAGUCCCUGUGGGAAAGGGAGGGGGCUAAUUAAACCCAUGCAAAGUAGUUCCUCUUGAAAAAGUCCACCUCUCUCGAUCCUGCAGAAGCAGGCGUGUGUGUUUCUGUGCUCCCCUCUUGUGCAGAGUAUGUGUUACUGCAAGUUAUUUUUCUGGCUUCGGAGUUGGGCAAGUACAAUCUGGCUUUAAUCAUAAAACCUUCUGGCCACACGCCAGAAUUGAGAGAGAGGAAACUCUUGGCAUAUUUGGGAUGUCCGCAUAAAUAUAAGCAGACGCGUGAGACAGCAGAUCUCUACGUCACACUGCGGGGAGAGACGUGCCUCCAAAGGCUGCAUCUUCUGGUCAGGGAUGGAAGGCGGAGAGAGACGACAACUUCAGUGCCUGAGGGUUAAUCAGACUUUUAGGAAAAUCCUUGAAAUUUUUUCUGAUUAUUAUUUUUUUUCUUUCCACCUUUAAAGCUUGACUCAUCUCAAUGAGUCACCCUGAGUAGGCUUGGUGUUACAAAAGCUUCCAAGGUUCGGUGCUAAGCAACCCAGACGUGGAUGCAUCACGCUCCAUCCUUGGUUUAUAUCCAAACCAGAUGCUGCCUAUCAACCAAAUCUGCACAUUUGAAACCAAUCUGGAUCUACAAUCUCCGUCUAGAUCACCGGCGAAUGGUAAUCAUUUCACUGUCACACCCAAAUGGUGUGCAGACUGAGCUAAUAUAUUUGUCCGGUGAGGAGGAUCAUCUUGAUUCUUUUUACCCUAAAUCAGUGUGUCCUAUAUUUUUGGCACACAUCCCCAAAUCUAUCAUCUAAAUUGUAUAAACCGAAAAAGCAAGCAAAAGAAAUGACACUUUUGAAGCAGCUUCUCUCCAGAACAGCCACAUAUGUUGCUCCUGUGUACACACGGAAUGUUAUACAUGGCGCUAAUGUGUCCUCUGGUAGCCAAUUAUAUGAAGAGCAGUGUCUCCACAACCAAAGUCAACGUGGAGAUGUUCCUGCAUGUUUCUAUUGAUCGUCUUGUGCCGUGUUUUACUCACUAGAAAACAGUUGAAUGUAGUAGUGGAUUUUGGAGGUUGAGACGUUUAAAGAUGUAAAAAGGCCCUCCUUUUUGAAGAUCCUGCUUUUAUUUGGUUAAUAAUUUGACCUGGUUUUAUUUUGAAGUGAUCAUCUGACUUUCAAUGGGCAUGUGUGAAUGGAGCUUUACAUACACUGUGACUGACAGUCUCUAAAGCUUCAUUUGAAUUCUUGCAGUACUAAUUAUUAACUUUUACUGCGAGGCAGAUGACGGAGUUCAGGCUAAUGAAUUUUGAUGUUUCUGACAGGAGCCAAAGCCACUGAGAGACUGACAGCAGGUGGAAACAGAGCCACGUCCUGAAGGUGGAGGUAUUUCUCUUCUCACAGAAGCAAAGCUUGGAGGAAGAGAAACCUCACUCUUUUUUUCCCUCCUCUCUGUUGUAACCAAUGAAAAGAAACAUAAACUGCUGCUUGAUGUGAAUUGAAACAGGUAACUUUUCAUGCGAAGUUAAUUUAUUUGUUUUUUAAAAAUUGUAAUUGUACUUUAGGCAGCUUGCACCAGUUUGGGACCUCCCUAAGCUACUUGAUGCUACGUUACUCAACUCAACUUCAAAAAUCAAAAUUACAUUUUCUUCUCUUAACAGAAUUAUUUAUCCAUUAUAGCUAUUUUGAGAGAAUUGCUGUAUUUUUAAGACCUCUUGCACUUUUGACUUUGGGAAAAAAAAAGAAGAAGCCAUAUUUCUUCACGUGGAAAAAUCAAUCAUAGAUGAGUUAGCCAACACGACAGUGCAGAAGGAGCUGUAGGUGAUGUUCUGGAUGUUCAGGUAGAAGGAAAACAAAUGCAAAUUUGAGUUUGAAAUGUCCCUAAAUCAAAUACUAUAUAUAAGCUGUCCCACUGCUACAUUACUGGGAUCAUGGAGAUAAAACUGUAUUGUGAGAUGCAAAUGUUUUAACUUAAUAAAUGAACGAGAAAUGAUUCCUGACUCGGCCUGAUGUCUUGCUGAACAAACUGUUACGUAACGGGUUAUACAGGACCCAAACGCAGGCCAGGACACAAUGGUGGAGUGGUCAAAAGCUUUAUUUACAGGGUGGGGGGGGGAAGCACACACUGACGACAAGAAACAGUCCUCCUGGACCGCAGGGGAUCGGGAGGCAGCGUUCGCCUGUCACAGGUCCAUCGGCGAGUCCACAACCAGAUGCAGUCCCCCUGGACUGCGGGGAACUCGGAACACCGGUGAGUCCUCAACCCGCGGCAGUCCCCCAGGACCGGCGAGGACUCAGGAGUCUGGCGCGACGCGCUCACCACACGAACGUGCCCCGAAACACUGAAGGCAGAGGCAGUCCUCCUAGACUGCAAGGGGAGCAGGAGUGGUCCUCUAGGAGACAUGGAACAGGAACAGGAGCGGCCCUCCCAGAAACACGAAGCAGGAGCGGCCCUCCAGGGCACGGGGAGCAGGAGUGGCCCUCCAGGGAACUCGGAGCAGGAGCGGCCCUCCAGGAAACCACAGAACACCAUCACGAGACAGGGGAGACGACCAAACAGCCUCACCACGAGCAGACACCCUUCCAAACACCAAGGAAACCGAACAGACACCUCUCACAAACAGAAGGAAGACGAACAGACACCCACACUAGACGAACAGACACCCUAGCACUAGCAGGCAGGCACAAACUGCUUAAAUAGGCAAGAAGCAAAUUGCCCACAGGUGCGCCUGCCUGCAGCGCCAGCUGUACCCAAUUGUGCUCCCUUCCAUCCCAUGCAGGACAAAGACCGACACAACCCAGAAACCCCAACACAAACCUUUG
rnacentral:lncRNA from 1 species